rnacentral:piRNA from 1 species
UUGAAUUGUUCAGGAUAGGGGAUGGAACC